ACUCAAAUGAAUAGACGGGGACCCGCACAAGCAGUGGAGUAUGUGGUUUAAUUCGAAGCAACGCGAAGAACCUUACCAGGUCUUGACAUCCCUCUGAUCGAUGCAGAGAUGUAUCUUUCCUUCGGGACAGAGGAGACAGGUGGUGCAUGGUUGUCGUCAGCUCGUGUCGUGAGAUGUUGGGUUAAGUCCCGCAACGAGCGCAACCCUUAUAUUUAGUUGCCAGCACUUCGGGUGGGCACUCUAGAUAGACUGCCGGUGACAAACCGGAGGAAGGUGGGGAUGACGUCAAAUCAUCAUGCCCCUUAUGACCUGGGCUACACACGUACUACAAUGGCCGGUACAACGGGCUGCGAAAUCGCGAGAUGGAGCCAAUCCCAACAAAGCCGGUCUCAGUUCGGAUUGCAGGCUGCAACUCGCCUGCAUGAAGUCGGAAUUGCUAGUAAUCGCGGAUCAGCAUGCCGCGGUGAAUACGUUCCCGGGUCUUGUACACACCGCCCGU
rnacentral:rRNA from 1 species